rnacentral:rRNA from 1 species
UGGGGAAUAUUGGACAAUGGGCGCAAGCCUGAUCCAGCCAUGCCGCGUGAGUGAUGAAGGCCCUAGGGUUGUAAAGCUCUUUCACCGGUGAAGAUAAUGACGGUAACCGGAGAAGAAGCCCCGGCUAACUUCGUGCCAGCAGCCGCGGUAAUACGAAGGGGGCUAGCGUUGUUCGGAUUUACUGGGCGUAAAGCGCACGUAGGCGGACUUUUAAGUCAGGGGUGAAAUCCCGGGGCUGAACCCCGGAACUGCCUUUGAUACUGGAAGUCUUGAGUAUGGUAGAGGUGAGUGGAAUUCCGAGUGUAGAGGUGAAAUUCGUAGAUAUUCGGAGGAACACCAGUGGCGAAGGCGGCUCACUGGACCAUUACUGACGCUGAGGUGCGAAAGCGUGGGGAGCAAACAGG